UAUAUUCCUUAAAGGAGAUUUUAAAAAAUUACAUGUGAGAUAAACAAUGUUUUUAAACAAGAAGUACUCCCCAUCCACUCUGCAACUCCUUAUUUUCACCAAUUGAUCUUUUUAUUUUUAGCAGAGCCACAGGAAAUCCACACCACUUCCCUGGCAUGACCUGGGACUUUCUAGACAAAACACAUCCACUGAUUGGCCAGUAGGGGCCACAAGACUGAACUGAAUUUGAUCCUCUCUAGGCCUCAGUACAUCUAUCUGUGAGAUGAAGGACUUCCCAAAAUUAGAUUGUUGAUCUCAUCCUAAAACUAGAUGUGACUUCCACUAGCAACCUCUUCAACUGGAGCCAUCGGCAAACAUGGACACAGACAUCCAGUCUAGAAUCUUUCCUCAGAAGCAAUUCCCUGGGAGGUAGAUGUCUUUCCUGAACAGAAUCCUGCUUAUUUGUCUCCUCCUCAAAACCAUCAGUUCUUUAGGGGGAUACGGGUUCGUGCCCCGGUCCGGGAAGAUCCCACGUGCUGCGGAGCAACUAAGCCUGUGCGCCACAAGUACUGAGCCUGCGUUCUAGAGCUCGCAUGCCACAACUACUGAAGCUCACGCACCUAGAGCCCGUGCUCCGCGACAAGAGAAGCAACCACAAUGAAGAGUAGCCCCCGCUCGCCGCAACUAGAAAAAGCCCGCAUGCAGCAACAAGGACCCAAAACAGCCAAAAAUAAAUAAAUAAACCACAAUGAGAUAUUACUAUCUAUCUGUCAGAAUGUCUAAAAUAAAAAAUAGCAGCAGUACCAAAUGCUGAUGAGGAUGUGGAGAAAAUGGAUCACUCAUACAUUUCUGGUGGGAUGAAAAUGGAACAGCCUCCCUGGAAAACCUGAGUUUGGCAGGUUCUUAAAACUAACAUGUAAUUACCAUAUGAUCUAGCAAUUGCA